rnacentral:rRNA from 1 species
GAUGAACGCUGGCGGCGUGCCUAACACAUGCAAGUCGAGCGGAAAUAUUCAGAAGUAUACGUACGGAUGGAUAUUUUAGCGGCGGACGGGUGAGUAACACGUGAGCAACCUGCCUUUUGCUGGGGAAUAACAUCGGGAAACCGAUGCUAAUACCGCAUGACAUUCCGAUGGGGCAUCCUGUUGGAAUCAAAGGAGAGAUCCGGCAAGAGAUGGGCUCGCGUCCGAUUAGCUGGUUGGUGAGGUAACGGCUCACCAAGGCGACGAUCGGUAGCCGGACUGAGAGGUUGGACGGCCACAUUGGGACUGAGACACGGCCCAGACUCCUACGGGAGGCAGCAGUGGGGAAUAUUGGGCAAUGGGGGAAACCCUGACCCAGCAACGCCGCGUGAAGGACGAAGGCCUCGGUUGUAACUACCUGUCUUCUGGACGAAGUAAUAGACGGUACCAGAGGAGGAAGGACCGACGACGACUAACGUACGUCGACGACGACGACGCCGGUAACGUAACUACGUACGUACGUACG